rnacentral:tRNA from 1 species
UCGAUUUCCAAAAUCGUGAGGGUUCAAGUCCCUCUAUCCCCA